rnacentral:lncRNA from 11 species
AAAUGUUUCCAUAAGAGGAAGUUAAUAUAGGAACUUUUAUUUUAAUACAAGGUUAUGAUUGUUUAGAAAUAAGUUUGUCUAAAUGAAAAAGGUAGAGCUUUAUCUGUCUUUUUCCAAGUGCUGCAACAGUUGUUGCUGUUUCAGAUAUUAAAGAAGUGGAAAGUUCCCUUUGAGCUUCAAUAAUGAGGUAUGGCUGAUAUGAGGUCAAAACAACUAACCCUUCUAUAGUGAAGAAUGAGAGAAAACUACUGAUGAAGUCCAACUUCUGUCACUAUCUCAUAUAUCCAGCCAGAUGUGUAAAGAUUAGCUUUUUAUCCAGCGUGGAACAAUAUUCGAAGAAGUACGUCCUGGAAAAUGGAAAGAAAUAAUGGAGGUCAUUAGAGGAAGAAGGGCAAAGAUAAGAAGACCUGGACAGCACUACAAUUACAAACCGAAUGAUGAGUUGUCUAACUGCUGAAAUGUUUGUUUCUCCAAAAUAUUUCUCAGUUUAAGGUUAUUGUUCUUACUUGUUAUCGGUGAUGGUUGUUCAAGAAGUGAAGUUGGUAGACUUUGUGGU